UGAAGAUGUGAACGCAGCUUUGGCUGGCAGGAUAUUUCCUUUCACCAACUGGGGUUCGGGUUGAAACUGAGGCCACAGCCCCACCUUGUGGCAGGGCAGCGUGCUCACAGGACCCACAGACGGUCCAGGUCCAGCACCCUGCUGAAGUCCUGCCGGGCCUCGGCCUCGUUCCACACCUCCACGUGGGCCUUCCCUCGCAGAAAGAAGGCCUUGACUGCACCUGGGGGACAAAUAGGAACGUGCUUGACAGCAGCAAAUUCAUCUCGAGGACAAAGUAGAGCGGUUUCGGUUCCUUCAUCAGCUCGUCCAGGUCGUCGUAGCCGAGGCUGUGGUAGGCGAACAUGUUGGCCAUACCGCACGUGUGGAUGUGCCAGUCGACCGGGUCC